rnacentral:rRNA from 1 species
AGCGAACGCUGGCGGCAGGCUUAACACAUGCAAGUCGAGCGGGCAUCCUUGUGGUGUCAGCGGCAGACGGGUGAGUAACGCGUGGGAACGUGCCCUUCGGUUCGGAAUAACUCAGGGAAACUUGAGCUAAUACCGGAUACGUGCGAGAGCAGAAAGGUUUAUCUGCCGAAGGAUCGGCCCGCGUCUGAUUAGCUAGUUGGUGAGGUUAUGGCUCACCAAGGCGACGACCAGUAGCUGGUCUGAGAGGAUGAUCAGCCACACUGGGACUGAGACACGGCCCAGACUCCUACGGGAGGCAGCAGUGGGGAAUAUUGGACAAUGGGGGCAACCCUGAUCCAGCCAUGCCGCGUGAGUGAUGACGGCCUUAGGGUUGUAAAGCUCUUUUCUACGGGACGAUAAUGACGGUACCGGAGGAAUAAGCCCCGGCUAACUUCGUG